CUUUCCCCAAGGGUUCCGCAUUAGCCUAACCAAGACUUUCUCUGAGACUCUUAGUUAUUAUGAUGCUACUUCCACCAGCACCAGGGUUCUUGUUGCUAUCUGGCUGUUGAGUGAUUCAGUCCCACUGAGCAAUGUCAACCUGAUUGUCUUUCUUUGUUUUUAAGAAACAGGGUCUUGCUCUGCUGCCCAGGCUGGAGCACAGUAGUGUGAUCAUAGCUCACUACAGCCUUCAACUCCUGGGCCUUAGCAAUCCUCCUGCCUCAGCCUCCCAAGGAGCUAUGGCUGCAGGUAUCCGCCACCACUCAUUGACAGCCACUUCCAGUACUCACUGUCUUGGACACAGACUUGAGUAAAAGUACAGAAACAGGGCCGGUAGGACCAGAGGCUCCCCCUCCUGGGUCAGAUUAUGCAGUAAGGAGCUUCACAGAAUACGACUGGAAAUCCACAUACCCACUUUUCUGUUUAAUUCAGGAAGCAGUUGCUAAACACAACUAACAGAGCAAAGGGCAAGAGGCCUGGAUGAAGAAAUACCCUCAGAAACUCCCACUCUUCUGGUUCCUGCUGAAGACUCCAGUAAUAAAAGUUAUUCAUACCUACCUCCACCAUCUUGGCUGGGAAGUCAAGGAUACAGGAAGAAGAUAGCAGCCCGCAACCCGGAAGAGGGCCCUCACCAGAACCUACCAUGCUGGCACCCAGACCUCAGACUUCCAGCCUCCAGAAAUACACCAUCUGGCUCUGUCACCCAGGCUGGAGUGCAGUGGCCUGGUCACAGUUCACUGCAGCUUCGACUUCCCUGGCUCAAGUGAUCCUCCCUCCUCACCCUACAGGCAUGCACCACCGUGCCCAGGAGCUCCCUCUGCUGCAGGAACUCAACGAUAGGGAGGAAGAGUCCAGAAAAGUAGGGCUGUCAGCACCUCUGUGAGCAGCCGACGAUCCACAGCGGAUGGAGUUUGGUGGUAAAGGUACUCACUUCCUGUCUCUCUGGUGAUGAUUUUGAGCAUGUUCUACAAAGUCUUUCAGAUGGUCCCAGUAGGUUGGAGCCCAGCUGCCCUCAGUGGUAACCUGCCCAUUAACGUAUCCUGUGUUGGUUUCCUUUCCUCCCCUACCUCACCUCCCCACUCCCCUUUCUAUGAUUCCUAGAGUCACCUCCCAAAUAAACUUUCACAUUUACA